rnacentral:rRNA from 1 species
CGGACGGGUGAGUAAUGCCUAGGAAUCUGCCUGGUAGUGGGGGACAACGUUUCGAAAGGAACGCUAAUACCGCAUACGUCCUACGGGAGAAAGCAGGGGACCUUCGGGCCUUGCGCUAUCAGAUGAGCCUAGGUCGGAUUAGCUAGUUGGUGAGGUAAUGGCUCACCAAGGCGACGAUCCGUAACUGGUCUGAGAGGAUGAUCAGUCACACUGGAGCUGAGACACGGUCCAGACUCCUACGGGAGGCAGCAGGA